rnacentral:rRNA from 1 species
GACGAACGCUGGAGGCGUGCUUAAUACAUGCAAGUCGAACGAACUCGACCUUCGGGUCAUAUGAGUGAGUGGCGAACGGGUGAGUAACACGUGAGAAACCUGCCCCGAAGUUUGGAAUAACCCAGGGAAACUUGGGCUAAUACCAAAUACCUUCUGAGAACCGCAUGGUUCACUGAAGAAAGAUUUAUCGCUUUGGGAGGGUCUCGCGGCCUAUCAGCUUGUUGGUGAGGUAACGGCUCACCAAGGCAUCGACGGGUAGCUGGUCUGAGAGGACGAUCAGCCACACUGGGACUGAGACACGGCCCAGACUCCUACGGGAGGCAGCAGUAGGGAAUCUUGCACAAUGGGCGAAAGCCUGAUGCAGCGACGCCUCGUGGGGGAUGAAGGCCCUAGGGUCGUAAACCCCUUUCAGUAGGGACGAAAAUGACGGUACCUACAGAAGAAGCUCCGGCCAACUACG